UACGGGGGGGGCAAGCGUUGUUCGGAAUUACUGGGCGUAAAGGGCUCGUAGGCGGCCAACUAAGUCAGACGUGAAAUCCCUCGGCUUAACCGGGGAACUGCAUCUGAUACUGGAUGGCUUGAGUUCGGGAGAGGGAUGCGGAAUUCCAGGUGUAGCGGUGAAAUGCGUAGAUAUCAGGAGGAACACCGGUGGCGAAGGCGGUUCUCUGGGCAACAACUGACGCUGAGGAGCGAAAGCGUGGGGAGCGAACAGG
rnacentral:rRNA from 1 species